UUGUGGUGUGUUUGGAGGGACGUCGGGAUGCUAGUGUCUUGGUGUGUUUGGAGGGACGUUGGGAUGCUAGUGUCUUGGUGUGUUUGGAGGGACGUCGGGAUGCCUAGUGUCUUGGUGUGUUUGGAGGGACGUCGGGAUGCUAGUGUCUUGGUGUGUUUGGAGGGACGUCGGGAUGCUAGUGUCUUGGUGUGUUUUUGGAGGGACGUCGGGAUGCUAGUGUCUUGGUGUGUUUUUUGGAGGGACGUCGGGAUGCUAGUGUCUUGGUGUGUUUUUUGGAGGGACGUCGGGAUGCUAGUGUCUUGGUGUGUUUUUUGGAGGGACGUCGGGAUGCUAGUGUCUUGGUGUGUUUUUUGGAGGGACGUCGGGAUGCUAGUGUCUUUGUUGCGACUCUUCUCUUGGUUUGUUUUUGUCCCAACCUCUUUGGAUACAGCUGUGAUUCACUCAUUCAUCAGACUUGGCUAGCUUUAAUGAUGUCAUGACCUAGAUUUUUCUGGGACAUAUUUCGGUGCAAUGGAGUGUAAUUUCAGGCGUUUUAAGAAGUAAAAAUUGUUUAAAAAAAUAAAUAAAAAAUGGUCUGUUUUUGAGAGUGAUGUCUCAUUUUGAUAAACUUGUCACUAGAUCCCCCCCCCUCACUGCCAUAUAUUUUUCUUAGUUUAUUUUAACAGGGGUUUUUAUCUUAGUCUUGAUCUUUUUCUUUCUGGCAUUGAGUGUGGUUGGUCCUUGAUAUUUUGGUGUUUGUUGAAGGACAGAGUAAAGUGUCUGAGAUUGCCAUUUGAAAAUGUGGUUUUGCAGUGAUGAGGAACUGAGAGACAUACUAGUGUGUGUGUUCUAGUGUUGGUUCUAGAAUGUUUUCUCGUGUUGGUUCUAGAAUGUGCUGUAGUGUCGGUUCAAGAAUGUGCUCUAGAAUAGGUUCUAGUGUCGGUUCUAGAAUGUGCUCUAGAAUAGGUUCUAGAAUGUGCUCUGGUGUCGGUUCUAGAAUAUGCUCUAGUGUCGGUUCUAGUGUCGGUUCACUGUGUUCCAAUGCGUGAACAGGCGUUUAUGAUGUGUAGUUAAUUUGUCAUCAUUAAAGACAGACGUGAGAGAAAUUCAAAAGAAUCACUGUUUGUUAUUUUUUUUUCCUGAAUGAGUGAGUUUGUACUUACCAGUAAUUGUUGGAUAUUGCUGUGCAUCUUUUGUGGAACUCCUACAGUAUAUGGGUGUUGUUUUUUUUAAAAAUAGGGUGUAUCUAUUCCACAGUAAGUAAGGGUUUGUUUUGAAACACGGCCGUUUGUGUAGAGAUGUAGAUGGUACAGAGACGGUGUGUUGAGGGGUUGAAGAACCCAGAGGAACAGAAUCAGGAUCCACCCCCCAUGCCAUACCUCAAAACCCCUGAUGACACACACACACACACACACACACACCAAUAUAAACCUCUGACACACACACACACACACACACACACAAUAUAAACCUCUGACACACACACACAUCACACAAAUCAAGCUGAUACGUUGAUCCAUCAUGCCUUUUUUUUUUCUUUUUUCAAACAGGUUUUUUUCUUUUAUAGUAUUAUAAAACACGUUUUUAAAAUUGAAAUUGUAAUCAAUGCGAAGAAGAAAAGUUAAACCGAUGUUGUUGAUGUGACGCUCCUUAUCCGUGUAGUGGCAGCUCUGGGGUUGCACAUGGUGCUGUUGUAAGUGUGUGUGUUCGGCUGAGGUGAGAUCUCAUCGACUCUGUUCAACCUGUGAUCUUUAACAACCGCAUCCUCCUUUUGUUGAGAAGACAUACCUCCCAGACAUGUGUAACCCUCUUCCUCUGUUAUUUGAGGGGAAAACAUACAGUCGUCCUCUUACCUUGACAUUCCUGAGUUUCUUUGAUUUUUUUUUUUAGUUCUUGCCCAAACGGUUGUGAACUUGUUUUGUUAUUUUAUUUUAAAGAAAAUGUUACAUAAAAACCUGGAGAGAAUUUUUUUACGGCCUUUCUGUCUUUCAUCUGUAGUUGUGUUAAAUAUUGUCUUGAACUGCAUUCAGACACAGCAGCCGUUUAGCUAAAUUCAACUGAUUUUACAUUCUUAAUAAAGCAUGAAUAAAACAAACAAAAACAGUCCAACCAAUAACUACACAAUUAUUUAUUGGGUUAAAAAUGUUUAAAAAAUGCAUUACACUCAUUUGACCAAAACUUUUAAUAGGAAACCACAACAAGUCCAACCCAUAGUCAUAUUCACAACUCCACAUGUUGAACCCACCCUGUAGGGAGCUCUUCAACGGGCUAGGGAGGCUCCUGCCUGGUCCUGGUCGUACAGCGGAGGGGGUGGAGGGGGGUGUUCUUGGCAGGUUUUGUCUGUCCCAUUCUGUGUCUCAUCCAUCCAUUGGUAGGACUGGCAGACGAGCAGAUUCUAUAGCCGUUAACUCGGACACCAGUGUUUCAGAGCUAAUAGGGGUGGGGGGAUGUUCUUGGUAGGUUCUGUCUGUCCCAUUCUGCGUCUCAUCCAUCCAUUGGUAGGACUGGCAGACGAACUGAUUCGAUUCGUUCCGGUUCCCACAGACCAACCAAUCCGGUGCUGAGUCAGGAAGUCCAAGACUGAAGGAAGGGAGCACUGGUCCUUUUCCAACAUCUCCAGUUCAUCCAUUGGCCAUGAGAGGGCUGUGGUCUUCACUGGAGCGAUUUGGAGAAGGGGCUUGACAGUGCAUCGUGUCAGGGUGGGUUAUCAAAUGUUAUGGGAUGGUAGGUGGUAUAGGGGAGACAUCGAGGAUGGUAGGUGGUAUAGGGGAGACAUUGAGGAUGGGAGGUGCUAUAGGGGAGACAUCGAGGAUGGUAGGUGGUAUAGGGGAGACAUCGAGGAUGGUAGGUGGUAUAGGGGAGACGUUGAGGAUGGUAUAGGGGAGACAUCGAGGAUGAUAGGUGGUAGAGGGGAGACGUUGAGGGUGGUAGGUGGUAUAGGGGAGACGUUGAGGAUGGUAGGUGGUAUAGGGGAAACGUUGAGGGUGGUAAGUGGUAUAGGGAGACAUCGAGGAUGGUAGGUGGUAUGGGGAGACGUUGAGGAUGGUGGGUGGUAUAGGGGAGACGUUGAGAAUGGUAGGUGGUAUAGGGGAGACGUUGAGGAUGGUAGGUGGUAUAGGGGAGACGUUGAGGGUGGUAGGUAGUAUAGGGAGACGUUUCAGGGUGGUAGGUAGGUGAGGGUUGGAGUAGUGUAAAUAAAACUGAAUAUUUUAAGAGAUAUUCAAUGGGUUAUGGAGUGGUGGCUCUGUGAGGUAUGAAGACAGAAAAAGAGAGGUUAUGUGUGUUUGAUGCCUGAGAGAGAGAACGGUACAUCUGGUAAGGAGUGGGGUGUGUUAAAAAAAAAAAAAUGGCCGAUUCAGAAGAGACUGAUGUUUCAGCAGUACUGGGACAUGGUCAGGAGAGGAAAUUAGAGAAGCCUGAGACCUAGAGAGAGGGAAGAGGAUAAGGAUGGCUAACUGGUAUGGACUGGUAGGUAGCAGUCUAAUAUGAGGACUGGUAGGUAGCAGUCUAAUGUGAGGACUGGUAGGUAGGUAGCAGUCUAAUGUGAGGACUGGUAGGUAGGUAGCAGUCUAAUGUGAGGACUGGUAGGUAGGUAGCUGUCUAAUGUGAGGACUGGUAGGUAGGUAGCAGUCUAAUGUGAGGACUGGACUGGUAGGUAGCUGGUUAAUGUGAGGACUGGACUGGUAGGUAGCUGUCUAAUGUGAGGACUGGACUGGUAGGUAGCUGUCUAAUGUGAGGACUGGACUGGUAGGUAGCUGUCUAAUGUGAGGACUGGACUGGUAGGUAGCUGUCUAAUGUCAGGACUGGACUGGUAGGUAGCUGUCUAAUGUGAGGACUGGAAGGUAGCAGUGUAAUGUGAGGACUGGAAGGUAGCAGUGUAAUGUGAGGACUGGUAGGUAGUAGUGUAAUGUGAGGACUGGAAGGUAGCAGUGUAAUGUGAGGACUGGAAGGUAGCAGUGUAAUGUGAGGACUGGUAGGUAG
ensembl:lncRNA